GGUCACUCCAGUCAUAUCCACCAGCUUCUUUUCAGCAUCAAGGAUUUAACUGAUUCCUUCCUGUCAUUUGGCAGCAUUGUGGUGUGUGCUGGAUUAUGUCAGUACAUCGGAUUCGAUUACAAUGAAUCACCGCACACUUUAAAAAUUGAGCGUAACCAAAAUCUUGAACUGUUUGACAGAGGAAGCCGAUUUUGAAUGUCAUGUAUUUUCGUCCGACCGAUGACCUCUUAGGAAAAGGCAGACAUUUUGUUGCACGAGUGGACCCAGAAGGUUGAGCAGAUGGAUAAAAGUGCACCUUUCAUCAAGAUGAUAAAGAAGAGGACAUAAGGAUGCUACAAAGAAUUAUUAAGUGGUUAAGUGAGUGGGCAAAGAUCUGACAAACGGUGUAUAAUAUUCAAAGGUUCAAAGAGCAACAGAAAGAUCAUUGAAAUUUAGGCCAUAUUCUUGUACAUACGUCAACAGUUCGUCACGCCUGUCCUCCACUCUUCUGGUUACAAAGGCUACAAGAUAAUUGAUCCUGUGAAAUUAAUUGAUCAUUUGCCGUGGAAGAAAACUAUUGAGGCCUUCAGAUGGCUCAAUAGUCAUAAUGUCGGAAGGUUUCACCUUCGUGACCGGAACGCGUUAAGAAGCACAGAUAUCACAAUGACCUCCCAUUAUUAAUAUUGAUUUACAAAAUCUACGUGGUAAACCAUCUACUGUCUUUAAAAAAUAGUCACCUGCAUCAGGAGAGAGCUCAUUCAAAUUACAGGAAAUCACAAAUGUUGGAAAAAUCUGUGGAUCAUGAAAUCUGGGGAAAGAAUGUCAAAUGCCAAGGAAUAUUUUUGGGAGAUUUCUUUGCCAAUGCUGACUGAUAUUUUACAUUCCUCAUUUUCCAAGCUAGUUGAGGAGCAGACUUGACAUGUGUUGUUUUAUUCCGAUGCGUUAUCAGAAUGAUUGGUGCAGCCCAGCUCCUCUAGACUGACAUCAACCUCGUCAAACCAAAGAGGAUGAGGUGGAAAGGAAUGAAACUGGAUCUCAUUGCACCAUGUUCUGAAUGCAAAGUGAAAAGAAACAGCAAGAUAGAAUUUCAAAAGUUCCCAGUGCUAUAACAACCUGGGCAAAAUUCCAACAUCUCUGCCUGUUGCUUUAAACAGCCAUUAGUUUUAACUAUGAAAAUGAAGUAUUUAAAGGCAGUUUCUCCUUAGUGUGGUAAUAAACUAUUGAGAGACCUAACCCUGAGUCACUGGAGAAAGAGAUGAAACUAUCUAAAAAAUUGAUUCAAGUGUUUCAAUGUUAACAAAAGGAAUAAACUGCAGAAAGCAAAUAGACUGUAAGAAAUGGGAUAAAGUGACAAAAUAUGCAGGGUCAUCUAUGACUGAAUGGAAACUGGCAAUGUGGCUCUAAUUUAUUUUGAACAGAAGGCUCCCUGGUUUCAUUCCCAGUGUUUGCUAAAUUAGCCAACCUCAGCACGAGAGAUAGUAGGGAAGCUACAUUUCACCUCAAAGCCACGGGAAAUAAAAGAAUAAUCAGCCUUGGUUCCUCUCAAGUCUUAUUGUGGCCUCAGCAGGAGGGGAUACAAAUGUAAAAGGAGUCCAUUAGAGGAUCUUCUUCAGAUGUGAUGCCUCCUAUGGUUAAAUAGGCUGAAACGCUCACUGUCAAGGCUGAUAAAUAAAGGAAGGUCAUUUUGGGUCAGUUUCUGGAAGAUUGCUGGCACCUGUGGCCCUGUCAAUCAAGGCAGAUCAGGAAGAAAAACAAACAACAGAACAGAUAGAAACCAUUGGAAUUCAUAUCCUCAUUUUAGUCGAUAUGGAUUCACACCAGCUCAAAAUACCCAUGCCCACACUUUAUAUUUACUGUGCCAACAAUCACAAUCUGCCGCACGCAUUUAAUCAGACAGAGUGCAGAAUAUUUAACUACAUUUGCAAUGUUUACCAUUCAAUUUUAUUUCCACUGGUCUGCUGACUAUCAAAAAUUUUGCACAUGGUUGCAUUUUUUGACCUUGCACUUUAUUUGUUUUCCAAAUAUAUCGAUGAAGUUUUGCAACUUUUCCUUCAUAGACAGUCUUAAGUGCUGGAAUUAAUAGAACAUUGAAUCCAUAGACAAUUUUUAAUGCUUUUUUCUGAAUCACACCAAAAUUUAAAAAAAUGCAAGGAUGAAUAUAGUGGUAUAAUCAAGGUCAAUAUAAGUUCUGUAAACCUACAGUUAAAUACCUCUAGCUUCUCCCCUGGUAUUUGAUCAGCUUUCAGUUGGUAAUUCUUUUAACAAGCAAAUCAAUCUUAUAUUUAUUUUCAUUUUGCCUUUUCCCAGCUGUUGCUGUCCAAAUCUAUCAAAUCUCUCUCUCUCUGAGGGCUGUAUUGUCUUCUUCAGUUAAAAAAAACAAGCCAAAAUACUCUUUUUUUCAUUGUAUUUUAUAGCCCAUUUGUAAAAUCCCAAGGACAUAGUUUUGAAAUGUGGACCACUGAGAAACCAGCUUCAUUACUGUUAAUUAAACACUGACAGGGAAUCAUAAUAAAUCUUCGGUGAUCUUUUAAUGUUGUUGCACGUUUUCAAAAGUGACUGAACAAUAAAAUGGCUGAUUUAAUGACCUGAAUGUACUUGUGAAGAGCAAUAAUAGAAUCAUGGAGACAUGCAUAUUGGAGAAACAGAAUGAUAUUGUGUGGAACUUUUAAAUCAACAAUUUGGCAGACUUGGAGUCAGGCCAGUAAUAGGUAGCAACGGAGAAACAGCAUAAAUCAAAUAUGGACAUGUAAAUUAAGGAGCUGUCAAAUAAUGCCCUAAAUUUUAUCCUACUUUUUCACUAUAAUUAACAAAGAUGGGCGGGUGUAGCAAUUGCACAGUUCUCAUCUGUGGGGAAGGCAAAACUUACUGAAGAGUCUGGCAUAAAAUUCAUGAGCAAGUUAUUUCUGGCAACCUGUUGGUUGGAGGUCUAUUGCCAUCAGUUUCUAAACAAAGCCAUAGAGAUGGCUAUGCAGUUUCUCUUCAGGUUACAUGGAGGCCAAUUCCUCUGAAUUCAUACCCUAAUCCCCAGGAACCAUGAACUUACGUGCAGGUUGGUAAAAUGUCAAGACUCAAGCAAUCUGUGUGUGCCAUGCCUUUUCUACAAGAGAUUUUAUUCAGUUAAUCAGUUACAGAAUGGUGAAGAGAUCAAAAACUACCAGGCAGUUUUGCAAACAUCAAAACAUCAAUCAAUUUAUCAAUCAUUACAUUACAAUAUUGUCAUCCAUAUCCGCAACGCACUCGUGGUGAUGAGCAUUCACGGAAGGCAUGCCUUUUCUAUUAGGACAUUGAUCCACUGAAUUGUAGCUUUUGCAUUUAUAGUGCUAUAUUCCAUGAUUUUAGAUUUAGACCUCCAAGAUGAUAUAAUGAAUGGCCAAUCGGAUAUGUAAACCCUCAUUCAUAUUGUGUUACUCAACAGUGUUCUGGAGAAAAG